ACGGGGUGCAGCAGGCGCGAAACCUCCGCAAUGUGAGAAAUCGCGACGGGGGGAUCCCAAGUGCCAUUCUUAACGGGAUGGCUUUUCAUUAGUGUAAAGAGCUUUUGGAAUAAGGGCUGGGCAAGACCGGUGCCAGCCGCCGCGGUAACACCGGCAGCUCUAGUGGUAGCAGUUUUUAUUGGGCCUAAAGCGUCCGUAGCCGGUUUAAUAAGUCUCUGGUGAAAUCCUGUAGCUUAACUGUGGGAAUUGCUGGAGAUACUAUUAGACUUGAGACCGGGAGAGGUUAGAGGUACUCCCAGGGUAGAGGUGAAAUUCUGUAAUCCUGGGAGGACCGCCUGUUGCGAAGGCGUCUAACUGGAACGGUUCUGACGGUGAGGGACGAAAGUUAGGGGCGCGAACCGGAUUAGAUACCCGGGUAGUCCUAACUGUAAACGAUGCGGACUUGGUGUUGGGGUGGCUUUGAGCUGUUCCAGUGCCGAAGGGAAAGCUUGUUAAGUCCGCCCGCCUGGGGAAGUACGGUCGCAAGACUGAAAACUUAAAAGGGAAAUUGGCGGGGGGAGCCAC
rnacentral:rRNA from 1 species